GCCGAUGUGGUGAAAUGGUAAACACAGCGGACUUAAAAUCCGCUGGAGGGCAACCUCCUUGCGGGUUCGAGUCCCGCCAUCGGCAC
rnacentral:tRNA from 1 species